GUUUUGUACUGUUACUAUCCGGAAAAUUUUACAUUAAGGAUUGGUUUGAUGGAAAACUUUUAAAGUUUAAUCUCACUAUGGAGUUAAACGUUUACAAAAAUUCCAUGCAUCUUCAAACUUAUCUUCUGUGUCAUUAUCAUUAUAUUGGGUUUGCAACUUUGAUUGUGAUGAGGUAUCUCAAUCAAGUGCAGGUGUAGGACUGGAGUGAAAAUAACUAAUAAAACUGCAUAGUCAUUAGUUUGAAAAGAUUGUGCAAAAAUGCUCACUGAUGG
rnacentral:misc_RNA from 1 species